rnacentral:lncRNA from 1 species
CCCACGUUUUCUCGUCGUCUCUCCCAAUGGCCACACUUUCCAUAAAUUAAUCAUUUUAAUAGGCCAUUCGUGGACCGGCGUAUCCGUUGCAGUUUAUAGCCACGCGCGUGUACGCGAGUGCCCGCGGCUGGAUUAGCCAUAUUUCCAUUCGUGGCCGUUACCAUAAGCGACAUUAAUCGCGUCUAUAUGCGUUAUGUUGAUUAUACAACUAGGAUCUAAUAGUUGCAAAUAGACCGCUCGAUGCCAGUGCAAUGACGCAGUAGUAAGAAAUAAUGACACGGUGAUGAGUCAGUGGGGCAAGACUUAAAAAAUAUUGAUACGUGGAUAUGUAACUAAACCAAUCGAGGCGAUCGGUUUCAAAUUCCAUUUUUGCAAUUACAGAAGACGUAUAGCUGCCUGGAAAGAUAUCAACCGAUAAAAAAAGUAUUUUAUUUCUCGUCGAAAUGAAAUUUUUAUUAAAACCCGAUGAAUUCGUCCUGUAUGAAACACGAUAUAUUCGACAUAUUGAAACGCGUGCCAAUUCGACAAAAAUUGAUUGACAAAUAUUUUAUUCGAAUUAUUAGAAAAUUGAAUUCGUCUAGAACGAACUUCACAUAGCAUAGGCAAUUCGCACGAUCGUGAAACAGAUUGCGAACCAUGGCGAGAUUAAAACAUCAUGAAACAGUUUACACGAAACCGGAAGUCGUCGAGUAUGACGUUAAUUUUAUUAACAUAUUAAAUCAACGACCAAAAGAGGAUUACGCAUUCUAAUAAGCAAUUAGUGUCAAUGCGCACGCGGAGAAAGAUUCAUGAUGUAUAAAAGAGUUUAUCUGUACGUCGAAGAAAGGAACCCACCAGAAGCUGAAAGCCAAGUAGCCUCUGCAGGCGUGCACCGUCGCCCCGUAAAUUAUUCCCGCCCGGCGUAAACAUUAAACAAGUAUCGUUUAUACGCGCCGUGACCAGCCGAGGAAAAGAAAGAAAGGAAGAAAGAAAGUUCCACUUUUACCGCGAGCUCCUUUUACUUCGGCUCUGCGAACAGCCUUCGAGUUGCUCAAGAUCGAAUCCUGUUGCGUCAAUGUUCCAUGAUUCAAUUUGAUUUCACGUUCAUCGUGAUCCGAUAUUUAAUAUCUUCGUAUCAUUAGAAAGUAUUUUUUAGCAGGAAAAACAGAAAAAAAGACCAGGCAAUAUCACUGGAAAAGAUAAAAGAAAA